rnacentral:rRNA from 1 species
GAAUGGCGGCGAGUCCAAUACAUGCAAGUCGAGCGGACAGAAGGGAGCUUGCUCCCGGAUGUUAGCGGCGGACGGGUGAGUAACACGUGGGUAACCUGCCUGUAAGACUGGGAUAACUCCGGGAAACCGGAGCUAAUACCGGAUAGUUCCUUGAACCGCAUGGUUCAAGGAUGAAAGACGGUUUCGGCUGUCACUUACAGAUGGACCCGCGGCGCAUUAGCUAGUUGGUGGGGUAAUGGCUCACCAAGGCGACGAUGCGUAGCCGACCUGAGAGGGUGAUCGGCCACACUGGGACUGAGACACGGCCCAGACUCCUACGGGAGGCAGCAGUAGGGAAUCUUCCGCAAUGGACGAAAGUCUGACGGAGCAACGCCGCGUGAGUGAUGAAGGUUUUCGGAUCGUAAAGCUCUGUUGUUAGGGAAGAACAAGUGCGAGAGUAACUGCUCGCACCUUGACGGUACCUAACCAGAAAGCCACGGCUAACUACGUGCCAGCAGCCGCGGUAAUACGUAGGUGGCAAGCGUUGUCCGGAAUUAUUGGGCGUAAAGGGCUCGCAGGCGGUUUCUUAAGUCUGAUGUGAAAGCCCCCGGCUCAACCGGGGAGGGUCAUUGGAAACUGGGAAACUUGAGUGCAGAAGAGGAGAGUGGAAUUCCACGUGUAGCGGUGAAAUGCGUAGAGAUGUGGAGGAACACCAGUGGCGAAGGCGACUCUCUGGUCUGUAACUGACGCUGAGGAGCGAAAGCGUGGGGAGCGAACAGGAUUAGAUACCCUGGGUAGUCC